rnacentral:lncRNA from 1 species
AUACUAGUCAGUUUCAUUACAGCUGAGCCACAAUGGCAACUCCCUUGAACCAAAUUUUGAUGAUGAUUAAUAUUUGGUAUUGAUGGGAGAAAGAGAUGCCUCCUUAUAAAAUUGAGAAAUACAAAAUGUAUUUAAAGUACAAUGAGUAGAUAAAUUCUGCUGAAACUAAGUAAUACUUUGAAAGUUUGAUAGUACAGAUUUAAAAAGGAGGAAAUAAGGACUUGAAAUCCAUAAUUAUUGAUUAUGAGUAAUUAAAUUAUAAAUAUAUUAGAACACCUACAGUUACCUGCAUUGAAAUUCAAUAUUUUAUGAAGCAUACUCACUCUAAUGAUUACCUAGGACAACAUUGUUAUGAAAGUCUCCUGUAAUGUUAUAUCAAAAAAAAAAAAAACCCAAUCAUAGAAUGGUCAAAUAUCUAAAUAGACCUUUCUCCAAAGAAGACAGACAUAUAGCUAAAAAGCACAUGAAAAUAUGCCCAACAUCACCAAUUAUUAGAGAAAUGCAGUCAAAGCUAUGAUGACAUAUCACUUCACACCAGUUAGAAUGGCCAUCAUCAAAAAGUCUACAAACAAUAUAUGCUGGAGAGCAUGUGGAGAAAAGGGAACUCUCUUACACUGUUGGUGGGAAUGUACAUUAGUGCAAACACUAUGGAGAACAAUAUGGAGUUUCCUUUAAAAAACUAAAUCUAGAACUACCAUAUGAUCUAGCAAUCCCACUCCUGGGCAUCUAUCUGAAGAAAACCAUAAUUCAAAAAGAUACAUACACAUCAUUGUCCAUGACAGCACAAUUUACCAUAGCCAAGACAUGGGAGCAACCUAAAUGUCCAUUAACAGAGGAAUGGAUAUAAAGAUGUUGCUGCACAUAUAUACAAUGGACUAUUGCUCAGCCAUAAACAAGAACACAAUUAUGACAUUUGCAGCAACACGGAUGGACCUAGAGAUUAUCAUGCUAAGUAAAGUAAGUCAGAUAGAGAGAUAAAUAUCACAUAAGAUCACUAAUAUGUGGAAUCUAAUAAAAAAUGACACAAAAUUGUUUACAAAGUAGAAACUGACUCAAAGAUUUUUGAAAUUAAACUUAUGAUUACUAUAGGGGAAAUGUGGAGGGGGAAGAAUAGAUUAGGUUGAAAUUGAUAUAUAUAAUUAAAAUAGAUAAGUAAUAAGGACCUACUGUAUAGGGAAAUAUAUUCAAUACUGUGUUAUAAUCUAUAUGGGAUAAGAAUCUGAAAAAGAAUGGAUAUAUAUGUAUAUGUAUGGCUGAUUCACAUUUCCGUAAAACUGAAACUUACACAGUAUUGUAAGUCAACUACACUACACUCUAAUAAAAUUUAAAAAAAGAAACUUGAGAUAUAGGAUUUAUAGAUUACUGAAUUAUAUGGUAUUCCCUAUCUUAUAAAUUUUCUAAAGGUAUGAGAUGCUUAACAAUGACAAUAGCAUCAGUUAGAGAGCACUAAUCUUUUGCUUUAAAAUUUUCAUGGAUAAAGAGGACAGACAAAACCAGGGGAGCUACUGCUAAAUUCAGCAUCAAAGAUUAUAUUCUAAAUAAAACACAUGCACAUUUUUAAUAUUAUUUUUCUAUAUAUGAGAAUUUAUGAUUUUAACUAGACUUUGGAGAUAAGGAGUUAACCUUCAGUAUCUUUUAUUGACCUUAGAAGGUGAUGUUAUUGUUUUUUGUUCCUCCCAGAACAUAUUACUUCCUUCCAUUUGUCCAGACUCCAUACUUUAAGCCAGAGGCACAGUGAAAGGAAGCCUUCACUCUGUAUGUACUAAAAGGUGAAAAAAAAUUGGAAACAAAAAGUUACAAUCAUUCUCUUUUAAAGUCGUUUUUAGAAAGAAAAAUUUUCCCUCUGUUUGUUAAGCAUGCAAAUGAGUGAUGAUGUUAGUACAUUGAGAAGAAAAUUGGUGAAGGUUAAAGAAGCUGCCCGUACAGUCAAAAGAAAGACCAGAAAUGAAGAGAGAUUCCUAAGCAGUACUAGUUUCCAGGAAACUCUGCCAUUCUCGAUGCUUUGAUUUCCAUUGUUCUUUUGAGGCUAUUAAAUACUCAGUUCACAGUUUAUAAAUCUACGUUUUUUGGAUGAAGGUUUUACAAGUGCUAUUUUUCAUCUCAUUGUGAUUCUCUCCGUUAACUCAAAAAUGACAUUUUUGACUUAUAGAUAUGUGUACCUCCCUUAUAGCCGCAUGAAUUACAUAUGUAGAAAAACAUGUAGCUAGCAAAGAAGGGAAAAUCACCAAUUGAGAAAAGAAGAAUUUUGUCUUUUUUCUGUUAUUUUUAAUUUGAACGUGUGUGCAUUUUUUUUGUAAUGUAAUGAAAAUAAACAGAUUAUAGAUCACAGAAUCAAAGAAUAUUUAAAUCAAAGGCAAGAUAUUAGGGAGCAUUUAGUCUAAUUGAAUUCUACUCUUCUUCCCCUAUAUCCUGUUACUAUUUACCUUUGAGAGUCCAAAAAUAGGUGUUUCAUAUAUGUUGUAUAGAUUUAAGCUCUCAGUAUAUUUUGUUUAUUUUUGCAUAUGAAGUCAAAUUGUCCAGCACUAGUUGUUGAAAAAAUAUUAUUUCUCCACUUAAAUUGCCUUUGCUUCCUUGUCAAAGAUCAGUUGACUAUAACUGUAUGAAUCUAUUUCUGUUCCACAGUGUGGACUCUCUACUCUGCUCCAUUGAUCUAUGUGUCUGUUCUUUUGCCAACACCACUCUGUCUUGUUUACUGUAGCUUUAUAGUAAGUGUUGUACUUUAGUAGUGUCAAUCCUCCAAAUCCAUUCUUUUUCAAUAUUGCAUUUGCUAUUCUGAAUCUUCCACUUUUUCACAUAAACUUAUGAAUCUAUUUGUUGAUAUCUACAAAAUAGCUUACUGGGAUUUUGAUCAGUUGUGUUAAAAUGUAUAGAUAGAGUAGGAAAGUAUCUCUAUCCAUAUAUACAAAAUACAUCUCCAUUUAUUUAGAUCAUCUUUGAUUUAUUUAAUCAGAGUUUUAUAGUUUUCUACAUAUCAAUCCUAUGUGGGUUUGAUUAUAGUUAUACAGAAAGAUCUAAUUUGUUAGUACUGUUAUAAAUGAUAUUGUGUUUUUAACUUCAUAUUGUGAUUUUGGAAUGUUAGCAAAAAUGGUUAAUAAUAAUUUAAAAUAAUAACUUAUUACAAGUGGAAAAAUGCAAACAAUAUGAAUAACAUAAGGACGAAUGAUUUUUAGGCAGGUGAUGAAAAAUAUCCCUGAUAAAGUAAUAUUUGUCUCAGUUGGUAUAUCAAUAGGCACUCUGGAAUGUCCUAGAUGCACAACUGUGAAUUCUUACUCUUGGUGGCAUGUAAAUAUGGAACCAGAGUUUCUGGUGUUUCACAAUCUUGAAGAGGGUGGGGGUAAGACUGUAUGUGGGUGGAUAGAGAAGUGGUGUGCAUUAUGUACAGGGAGGUACAAACCACUGAAGAAACUAGCAAUGGCAAGAUUCUAUUACUGCAAGCCCAAAUUAUCACUGAAAGGCAAACUCACAUUUUUAUGUGGCUCUAAAAUAUCAGAAACUUGGAGAAGCUGUACCUCUAAGAGUAGGCUGUGUUGUUUCCCAUUUUGGUUGUGCUAACAAUUUUUUGUACCCUUGUUAUUGCUCACUCUUUAAAUUCAGUACUGGUAUACAUUAUCGUCUUUAUGUUGAUAACAUCACAGUUCCAUUUGUGAAACAUUUUAUAGAGAUAUAUGUCAUUAAAUGUGAAUUGAAAACAUUGCAAAGGUAAAAACACACUAAGAAUUGUUAGACAUUGGGAGCAUUUUUGAAUGAGGAAAGAGAGUGACUUUCAAAUAUUAUUUAAUAUUCUUGCUUAACACUUUUGUUCUUUACAAGAAUAUAGUGCAAAUGGUUUGAACGAUCCAAAAAAUAAUGUGAUAAAAUUAAUGAUUUGUAUGUUGUUAAGUAAAAUAAGAUUAUAUAAUAAAUUGUAAUAUGUUAUAUAUUGUAUACCUCUUUUCCUUUUUAAAAGUAUUGGUCAUUUUGAAUGGAAGAAUCUUAUUAUGGCUUUAAUUUGCUACUUCCUGUUGACUAACAAGAUGAGAUCUUUUCAUGUGUUUGUGCUCAUUGCCCAUUUCUAUAGCCUCUUGUGAAGUGCCUGCUUAAGUCUGUUACACAUUUUUUUCUAUCAAAUUGCCUAUCUUUCUCUUACUGACUUACAGGAAGUUUUUAUAAAAUAAGAUAUAUUUUGCAAAUAUCCUAUCCUACUCUCUGGACUUGUCUUUAACUAUCACUUGAUAUCCUUCAGUGAACACGUAUUCUUGAUUACAAGAGUCCACUUUAAUAGCAUAUUUUACGAUUUGCAUUGUUUGGACCAUAUUUAGGAAAACAUCUCCAAAAAUCUACAUCUAAUACCAUACUUAAUGGUAAUAAACUAGAUGCCUUUUCUCAAAAUGCCUUUUCAUUUGUUAAUUACAGACAUCAAAAGUUUUAAAUUAAUAGUCUGAAAACAAGUCUUUGUGAGACAACUGUUCCAUGUAACAACCUAUAGGAACAUUUAUAUACAUAUCUCAUGUUGGAAAAACAAAGACCUAAUCAAAAAAAUAUUCUUAAGUUUAUUGGGAAAGGCAAAAGAACUAGAGUAGCCAGCACAAGAAAGGAGAACAAAAUUGAAGGACUCAAUCCAAUUACAAAAUUUACUAUAAAGUUACAGUAAUCAUAACACCAAGGUAUUGAAAAAAAGAACUGUCACAUAAAUCAAUGGAACAUAUACUACAGCCCAAAAGUAGAUCCACACAAACAUAAUAAAAAAUGUAGUCAAAAAUAGUUUGUCAAAAAAGCAAAAGUAAUUUAAUGGAGAAAGAAUAUUAUUUUCAAUAAAUAGUUCUGGAAAAAAAUUUGGAUGUCCAUACACAAAAGUAAAUGAAUCUAUAUAUAUAUAAAUUACAAUUUUGACAAAAAUUAACUCUAAAUGGUUCACAGACCUAAAUAUAAACACAAAACUAUGAAACAUAUAGAAGAAAACAUUGGACAGAUACUUUGCGUCUCUGGGAUUAAUGAUGAAUUUUCAACUGUAUCAGAAAUAUGAAAGAAAAACUGGAUGUUGGAUUUAAUUAAAAUUAAACUGUCUACUCUGUGAAAGAAGAAUGGAAAGACAAGAUGCAGAUUGGCAAACAAAAAUAUCUGCAAAACACAUAUUUGAUAAAGAACUCGCAUCCAAAAUAAACAAUUCUUAAAACUCAAUAUUAAGUGAUUAAACAAUCAAUUAACACAGGCAAAAUAUGUGAACAAACAUCUCAUUCAAGAAUAUAUACACAUGGAGUUCCCGUUGUGGCACAGUGGUUAAUGAAUCCGACUAGGAACCAUGAGGUUGAAGGUUCGAUCCCUGGCCUUGCUCUGUGGGUUAAAGUCCGGCAUUGCUGUGAGCUGUGGUGUAGGUGGCCGAUGCAGCUAGGAUGCCAUGUUGCUGUGGCUCUGGCGCAGGCCGGCGGCUACAGCUCCGAUUCAACCCCUAGCCUGGGAACCUCCAUAUGCCACGGGA